UACGGGGGGGGGCAAGCGUUGUUCGGAAUUACUGGGCGUAAAGGGCUCGUAGGCGGCCAACUAAGUCGGAUGUGAAAUCCCCAGGCUCAACUUGGGAACUGCAUCCGAUACUGGAUGGCUUGAAUUCGGGAGAGGGAUGCAGAAUUCCAGGUGUAGCGGUGAAAUGCGUAGAUAUCUGGAGGAAUACCGGUGGCGAAGGCGGCAUCCUGGACCGACAUUGACGCUGAGGAGCGAAAAGCUAGGGGGAGCAAACGGG
rnacentral:rRNA from 1 species